rnacentral:tRNA from 1 species
GGACCAGUAGCUCAGUGGUAGAGCAGUAUCCUUAUAAGAUAAUGGUCGAAGGUUCGAUCCCUUCCUGGUCCACCA